rnacentral:rRNA from 1 species
GACGAACGCUGGCGGCGUGCUUAACACAUGCAAGUCGAACGGAAAGGCCCUGCUUUUGUGGGGUGCUCGAGUGGCGAACGGGUGAGUAACACGUGAGUAACCUGCCCUUGACUUUGGGAUAACUUCAGGAAACUGAGGCUAAUACCGGAUAGGAGCUCCUGCUGCAUGGUGGGGGUUGGAAAGUUUCGGCGGUUGGGGAUGGACUCGCGGCUUAUCAGCUUGUUGGUGGGGUAGUGGCUUACCAAGGCUUUGACGGGUAGCCGGCCUGAGAGGGUGACCGGCCACAUUGGGACUGAGAUACGGCCCAGACUCCUACGGGAGGCAGCAGUGGGGAAUAUUGCACAAUGGGCGGAAGCCUGAUGCAGCAACGCCGCGUGCGGGAUGACGGCCUUCGGGUUGUAAACCGCUUUCGCCUGUGAUGAAGCGUGAGUGACGGUAAUGGGUAAAGAAGCACCGGCUAACUACGUG